AUUGUUUCUUGGCCUUUUAACUAAGAUCAAAUAUAGUAUUUGUUCUGAUCAGUUUAAUACCUGAUAUGUCCUUUAUCCGAGGACAACAUAUUAAAUGGCUUUUUGAAGCAGGGAGUUGGAAUAGAACUUGCUUUAUCCACUCCACGCAUCCGCCUAGUAUUGCAGUAUUCCCAGGAGCAUGCGCACACA